CGGAAGAGGCAGGAAGCUGGCUGGGGACUCCAGGAGAAAGAUAAUGGCAGUUAACGCUGAGGAGGAGGCGUGGAAAGGGAGAGACGUGCGUGGCCUUGAGACAUAUUCAUAAAACAGAACAGCAACGCGACUUGGAAAUGGUCCCGAAGGAGAGGAGGAUCCAGGGCAGCUCGGAUGGCUCAGGCACCUGGCAGCAUGAAUGCCUGCUCAUGGAAAGAAGAAUUCAAACUGUGAGGUGGUGGGAACCCCUAGGAUCUUUCAUAACGAAGGGACUCAACGGUUCAGAAGGCUGGCACUCGAUGGUCACCCCCUUCCAGAGUCUCCUGCCUUGAAGGACAGUUCUGCCUCUGGGGCUGCCUGUUCUCAGCAGAGCAGCCUGACGGAGCCUCUAAGAUGUUCAGCGAGAUGACAUCACUCCUCCAUUUCAAGCCCUGCAGUGACUGCUCCCAUCAUCAUCACUCGCCUCCCCGCCCUGCAUCAGCUGGCCCUUCCCCCUCCGACCUUGGCUCCUGUCUCCUCCCUCCAGCUACACAAGUUCCCAGAGUUCCAUGAGCACUAGGCAUGCUUCUGCCACAGGUCCUUUGCACCAGCUGUUCCUACUACUGGACCAGCUUCUUGGCCUUGGCACUAUUCACUCUUUGUCUGGCUAAGUUUUUGUCAUGGGAGCUGUCCUGUGCAUUGUACGAUGUUUACAGCUUCUCCCUUCUAGAUGCCAGUAGCACCUCCACAUACACACAGUGGUGACGACAAAAAUGUCUCCACAUGUUGGCAAAGUCCCCUGGGUAAGAGGGAGGAAACAUCACUGGCCUGAGAACCACUGGCCUAGAAGAGGUUUCCCUAGAUACCCACUAGAUCUCCUCCCUCCCCUUUUCAUGUCUUUGCUCAAAUCUCUUCUGCUCAAUGAGGCCCACCCUGACCACCUCAUUUAAUCCUGCAUCUGGCCCAGGUCCCAAAUUCCUGGUCCCUCAUCUUGCCCUUUUCUUUUCUUUUUUUUUUUUUUUUGCGGUACGCUGGCCUCUCACUGUUGUGGCCUCUCCCGUUGCGGAGCACAGGCUCCGGACGCACAGGCUCAGCAGCCAUGGCUCACGGCCCCAGACGCUCCGCGGCAUGUGGGAUCCUCCCGGACCGGGGCACGAACCCGCAUCCCCUGCAUCGGCAGGCGGACUCUCAACCACUGCACCACCAGGGAAGCCCGCCCUUUUCCUUUUUGCCAUAGCAAUGGUUACUUUCUCACUUCCUACUUGAUUUACUUAUUUCUUACAUUUAUUAUGUGUUUUCUCCCAUUGCAAUGCAAGCUCCCCAAGGGCAGGGGGCCUCAACAGUUUUAAUUACUCAUGUGCCCCAAGUGUUUAGAACUGUGCCUGGCAUAUAGCAAACAUAAAAUAAAUAUUUUUGAAUGGCUUAAUAAACUCGAGGACCUUAGAUUGCUGUGGAGGGCCUCGCUGAGGUCGAUGCGUGUAAAUUCACCGUGAUUCUCCUUUUCUGAGGUCACAUACUGCCUUGUAUUGUAAGGUGACUUUU